AACGAACGCUGGCGGCAGGCCUAACACAUGCAAGUCGAGCGAGGACUUCGGUUCUAGCGGCGGACGGGUGAGUAACGCGUGGGAAUGUGCCCUUCUCUACGGAAUAGCCCUGGGAAACUGGGAGUAAUACCGUAUACGCCCUAUUGGGGAAAGAUUUAUCGGAGAAGGAUCAGCCCGCGUUGGAUUAGGUAGUUGGUGGGGUAAUGGCCUACCAAGCCGACGAUCCAUGGCUGGUUUGAGAGGAUGAUCAGCCACACUGGGACUGAGACACGGCCCAGACUCCUACGGGAGGCAGCAGUGGGGAAUCUUAGACAAUGGGGGCAACCCUGAUCUAGCCAUGCCGCGUGAGUGAUGAAGGCCUUAGGGUUGUAAAGCUCUUUCAGCUGGGAAGAUAAUGACGGUACCAGCAGAAGAAGCCCCGGCUAACUCCGUG
rnacentral:rRNA from 1 species